rnacentral:rRNA from 1 species
UACGAAGGGUGCAAACGUUGCUCGGAAUUAUUGGGCGUAAAGCGCACGUAGGCGGCUUUGUAAGUUGGAUGUGAAAGCCCUCGGCUCAACCAAGGAAGUGCAUCCAAAACUACAAAGCUUGAGUACUUAAGAGGAUCGCGGAAUUCCCGGUGUAGAGGUGAAAUUCGUAGAUAUCAAGCGGAACACCGGUGGCGAAGGCGGCCUUCUGGACAGUGACUGACGCUGAGACGCGAAAGCGUGGGGAGCAAACAGG